GACAUAGGUUGCGAACGUUAUCCGGAAUUAUUGGGCGUAAAGGAUGCGUAGAUGGUUUGAUAAGUUAUCAGUGGCAAAUCGGGGCUCAACCUCGUGGAAGUUGGUAAUACUGUCAUACUUGAGUGCAGGAGAGGUUAACGGAACUCUAUAUGGAGCGGUAAAAUGUGACGAUAUAUAGAAGAACACCAAUAAGGCGAAGGCAGUUAACUAUUCUGUUACUGACAUUGGGGCAUGAAAGCGUGGGGAGCAAAACGG
rnacentral:rRNA from 1 species